rnacentral:lncRNA from 1 species
CGGUGUUUUGCUCUGUCAGCCAUGCCGUCUGUUGUGGGGACUCCCUGUUUGUCUGGCACUGGGCGCAAGUACCCUCCAUGACGUGGUUGUUCUGCACAGUGAGUGGAGCGGGACCAGAAAAACCCUUCUCUACCUCCUCCUCUGCUCCUGGGGGUUGUAAAUCUUCUGGCAUGCUGCCUGGAGCCUGCUUUCCUUUUCUCAUGUGGGAGAGAGCAUCUAGCACCCUGUCCGAGCCAGUUACGGGCUGGUGGGAAGGAGAUGUGUGAGCGGGGCUGUGCUGGCAAAACUCAGAUCUUUCCUCUUAGGUUUGUGUGGAGUUGUUCUUACAUCAGGGGCCCUCAGUUGAAUAACCAGUCUGAUCCCUACUCCUGUGUAUCAUCCGGUCUUCUAUUUUGUUUGGCCCACCAUCUUUGCAACUCGGGUGAAGUGGGAGGUUCAACUGGUCUGAGAACACUUGAUGUACUCCAUUGA